UACGUAGGGUGCAGGCGUUAAUCGGAAUUACUGGGCGUAAAGCGUGCGCAGGCGGUCUCUUAAGACAGGUGUGAAAGCCCCGAGCUUAACUUGGGAAUUGCGCUUGUGACUGGCGUGCUGGAGUGUGGCAGAGGGAGGUGGAAUUCCACGUGUAGCAGUGAAAUGCGUAGAGAUGUGGAGGAACACCGAUGGCGAAGGCAGCCUCCUGGGCCAGCACUGACGCUCAUGCACGAAAGCGUGGGGAGCAAACAGG
rnacentral:rRNA from 1 species